UACGUAGGGUGCAAGCGUUAAUCGGAAUUACUGGGCGUAAAGCGUGCGCAGGCGGUUGUGCAAGACAGAUGUGAAAUCCCCGGGCUCAACCUGGGAACUGCAUUUGUGACUGCAUAGCUAGAGUGCGGCAGAGGGGGAUGGAAUUCCGCGUGUAGCAGUGAAAUGCGUAGAUAUGCGGAGGAACACCGAUGGCGAAGGCAAUCCCCUGGGCCUGCACUGACGCUCAUGCACGAAAGCGUGGGGAGCAAACAGG
rnacentral:rRNA from 1 species